rfam:Tupaia chinensis contig35160, whole genome shotgun sequence.
CAGACUAUACUUUCAGGGAUCCUUUCUUUAGUGGAUUACUAGAGACGUUUCUCUGGACAGGUAGAGCAGCAAAAACCAGGAGGACGAGGCACAGCAUUCUCCCCUGAGCGAGAGCCCGGCUCCUGGUGCUGCUUUCUUGCAAUUGCCAUUUGCUAUUGAUGCUUGUUCUUCUCCUCCUUUGGGAGAGGGAGAGGGGAAGAAGGCCAUCUGAGUGGG